UGGGGAAUAUUGCACAAUGGAGGGAACUCUGAUGCAGCAACGCCGCGUGAAGGAAGAAGGGUUUCGGCUCGUAAACUUCUAUCAAUAGGGAAGAAAAAAAUGGCAGUACCUAAAUAAGAAGCCCCGGCUAACUACGUGCCAGCAGCCGCGGUAAUACGGGGGGUGCAAGCGUUGUCCGGAAUCAUUGGGCGUAAAGCGUUCGUAGGCGGUAUAUCAAGUCUGGUGUUAAAGCCCGGGGCUCAACUCCGGUUCGGCACUGGAUACUGGUAAACUAGAAUGCGGUAGAGGUAAGGGGAAUUCCUGGUGUAGCGGUGAAAUGCGUAGAUAUCAGGAGGAACAUCGGUGGCGAAAGCGCCUUACUGGGCCGUAAUUGACGCUGAGGAACGGAAGCCGGGGGAGCAAAUG
rnacentral:rRNA from 1 species